rnacentral:rRNA from 1 species
UACGAAGGGUGCUAGCGUUGUUCGGAAUUACUGGGCGUAAAGCGUAUGUAGGCGGCUUUGUAAGUCGGCUGUGAAAGCCCUGAGCUCAACUCAGGAAUUGCAUCCGAUACUGCUUUGCUAGAGUUUGGUAGGGGAUGAUAGAAUUCCUAGUGUAGGGGUGAAAUCCGUAGAUAUUAGGAGGAAUACCAGAGGCGAAGGCGAUCAUCUGGGCCAAUACUGACGCUGAGAUACGAAGGCGUGGGGAGCAAACAGG